CGCUGUUGGAAGUACUUCGCUGAAGCUAGACGCUGCCGAUCGCGUAUAUUCCUUAGAGAUCCACAUUCUACGCCAGAAGUCGCAUGCAGCCACAGGAUCACCUCGCUGAACCACUUUGCUUUUGAUACCUGUGUUAAGACCCAUGUGACUGGUUUAGGUAUCACUGAAAAGGAAGACCACCGUUUAUUGCACCAGCAAUACUGUUUUGAGAACGUCAGACUGCGUUAUCAGAGGGAUGAGGGAUUUCUCACCUAGAUACAGACAGACCUGUGAGCUGUUGUUUAUCUAACAGGAGUCAAAGUAGGCUUCUAAGCCUCAAACAGUGCCUAAAGCCUGAUGCUGUCUCUCAGAAGAGCGUAACUUCCUUACUGUUUGG